AGUGAUUUUUCGCAUAAUAGGAUUGGCCUAAUACCAUUGACCAUGGUUUUGUCUUCAGAUAUUUUCGAUUGCUCUCAGAUUAGAAAGUGAAAGAAUGAACCACACCCGAACAUGAGAAAUAUUGUAAAUGUUAAAAUCUUCAACGCCUUGUUAUAGGUAAGACUAACCAAUUUUCAUAUUGCUUAUUGCAUUCCAUAACAUUUAUUAUAUAUUUAUUGGUAAAAGUAUGAAUAUUCAAAUCAAUUUUUUUGUAAAUUGACUUUUAUAUGUAUUUUCCAAUUGGAUAAAACAGUUUCUUUUUAUUGGAAUAUAAAACACAAAUAAUUUUGUUAUUUUUUCAGUACAUUCGUAGUAGACACUAGAUACAUAAAAAAUACAAGAGAUUGCACAAAGAUCCUGGAAUACAGAGAAAUCAAAUAUCAUGGCUCUACAUAAUUGCUUCGUAACAGACUUUUACGAAGUGAAAAUCGAUCAAUACAAAAGGAUUUGUUUCACACAUGGACUGUACUUGAAUGAAAGGAAAACCAAUUACAUCCACAAUCCAAAGCUCAAUUUAUCUAGGUCGUACUUUAAACUAUUUAAACACCAUGUUUGAAAUAAAAGUGCUUCAGCGAGA